rnacentral:lncRNA from 1 species
AGUUAUUACGUGGUCGAAUUUUUAAUACUUAGUAUGUACAAGUUUUAAACUUAUAUAAAAUAUACUUUUUAAAUAUUAAUAAUUGAAUGUUGAGGCAUUUCUAAGGAACUUUUCUAUGCACCGCGGGACUAAUUCAGGAUUGUCUUAAAUUUUUAGGAGCUGAACAAAUAACACAAGAACCAUAGUGUGCUGUGUACUGAUUUGAACAUCCAGAGCAGAGUUUUAAGAAAUACCUGGGUACAGUAAUGUCUCUCCCAGGGUAGACUUGACAUAUUUAUUAGAGAAUUAACAUCUAACAUGCCCCAGGACACAUUUACAUCAGAACCCUCAUGGGCGACAAAGGAAACCAUGAAUGGAAAUCGGAAACAUAUGUAUAUUAGCAAAAGGAGCUUAAAGGACUAGGGCUGUGACGGAAAGCCAAAAGGAAACAAUACAGAUUCAUUUCAAUUUUGAAUUUGAGACAGUAUUAAAACACGCUGGUGCCUCCAAUAUUGGCACAACCCCUCCCCAAGAUGGGACUGAUAAUCUUACUCACAGGAGGAACACAACGCUAUUAAAAUAGCAUUGUUUGGCUGAGAACUUCUGCAAGGUGGAAGUCCUUCCCCAGGUGGGCGAUUCUAUUUAUGAGCGAGAGUCCCGCUGUGCCCUACUUCUCUUAUAUACUCAAGAAUUUUACCUCUCGCACAGGAGAAAGUGGACAAUCAUUACAAUACACAACAGACAUGUUUUUGGAAUACUGUUAAACCAAAACCAACAAGGAUGGACUAUGUUGGAUUGCCAUUAAGUUUUAGCAAGACAACCAAUAUUUACACCAUUAAAGGCACCAGCAAUAACAAAGAAAAUGGCAAUCACUGGAUUGAUUGUGGCUAAAGAUAUUAUUAUUUUAAGAGCUUUUUUUACCUUCUUCAGAUAUAUAAGUCCUAUUGUAUCCUGAACUGAUUGACAAAUAUUUUUCCGUUGCUGAAUGAUUUCUACAGUGGCUAAAUUGAUUUAAUGUUUCUAGGAAUAACCUCGGCAGGGAGCUCCACAUUCCACAGCGUGAGCGUUCGCAGUAGAAAACUCCCCUAAAACUACACUGUAAUCAUUUGGGUUCCAGUGUCUAAGGAUGAAUUCCCUGUCGAUGGCGAAUAAUGCGAUGGUAAAAGGAAAAUGAUAGCUAGUACCAAGAGGACUACAUUGAGACAUCAACAGCUCAUGGAAAGGUGCAUGCAUCGCAGGGCACUAUGUGACAUACCAGCACCCAGCAAAUUGCACACCUUUUUUAUAUUUAUUUUUAUUUUUACUGUUAUAAUAAAUAUUUAAAA